rnacentral:rRNA from 1 species
GCGAGGUGGUGCUAAUCCUAGAAAAUUCUUCGUAGUCCGGAUUGGAGUCUGCAACUCGACGUCCAUGAAGUCGGAAUCGCUAGUAAUCGCGAAUCAGCAUGUCGCGGUGAAUACGUUCUCGGGUCUUGUACACACCGCCCGUCACACCAUGGAAGUGGAUUGCACCAGAAGUAGAUAGUCUAACCUUCGGGAGGGCGUUUACCACGGUGUGCUUCAUGACUGGGGUGAAGUCGUAACAAGGUAGCCGUAGGGGAACCUGUGGCUGGAUCACCUCCUU